rnacentral:sRNA from 2 species
AAUCCGCGCACACCCACCCGUACACGGCAGGAGCGGGGGACCCACAGGUACAUCGCCUGUUCCGGUCCCGGAACAGGCUUGGGGUCAAGUCGCGUCCCGACGCGGCCGGGCAUCUCCAGCCCGCACCCGACAGCUCACCUCGCAGGCGCCGGAGAGGAAUU